GAGACACCCUUCCGAGGCAAGACUUGCUUCAGUGGGGCUUUGGUGCUCACUGAGUCUGCCCCCUGAGUGUGUCCCC
rnacentral:pre_miRNA from 1 species